rnacentral:misc_RNA from 1 species
AACGCACGAGACCUGCGGACCUGCGGAAGGAUCAUUAUUGAAAUCCUUAGGAUGUUGCUGGCCUUUCGGGGCAUGUGCACUCCGCCUUUUCAUAUCACCUGUGAACUCAUUGUAGGCCAGAUGUUAACAGUCUGUGUCUAUGUUAUUUUUAUACACACCAAGUUUAUUAGAAUGUCUAAUAAAGACCUUUUUUGGUCAAAAUUGAAUACAACUUUCAACAACGGAUCUCUAGAUCGGAAG